GAUGAACGCUGGCGGCGUGCCUAAUACAUGCAAGUAGAACGCUGAAGGAAGGAGCUUGCUCUUUCCGGAUGAGUUGCGAACGGGUGAGUAACGCGUAGGUAACCUGCCUGGUAGCGGGGGAUAACUAUUGGAAACGAUAGCUAAUACCGCAUAACAGUAGAUGUUGCACGACAACUAUUUGAAAGGGGCAAUUGCUCCACUACCAGAUGGACCUGCGUUGUAUUAGCUAGUUGGUGAGGUAACGGCUCACCAAGGCGACGAUACAUAGCCGACCUGAGAGGGUGAUCGGCCACACUGGGACUGAGACACGGCCCAGACUCCUACGGGAGGCAGCAGUAGGGAAUCUUCGGCAAUGGACGGAAGUCUGACCGAGCAACGCCGCGUGAGUGAAGAAGGUUUUCGGAUCGUAAAGCUCUGUUGUAAGAGAAGAACGAGUGUGAGAGUGGAAAGUUCACACUGUGACGGUAUCUUACCAGAAAGGGACGGCUAACUACGUG
rnacentral:rRNA from 1 species